UACAGAGGUCCCAAGCGUUGUUCGGAUUCAUUGGGCGUAAAGGGUGCGUAGGCGGCGGGGUAAGUUUGAUGUGAAAUCCCGGGGCUCAACCCUGGAAUUGCAUUGAAUACUACCUUGCUAGAGUACCGGAGAGGAAACUGGAAUUUACGGUGUAGCAGUGAAAUGCGUAGAGAUCGUAAGGAAGACCAGUGGCGAAGGCGAGUUUCUGGACGGUAACUGACGCUGAGGCACGAAGGCCAGGGGAGCAAACGGG
rnacentral:rRNA from 1 species